rnacentral:rRNA from 1 species
GGGAACUUGAGUGCAGAAGAGGAGAGUGGAAUUCCACGUGUAGCGGUGAAAUGCGUAGAGAUGUGGAGGAACACCAGUGGCGAAGGCGACUCUCUGGUCUGUAACUGACGCUGAGGAGCGAAAGCGUGGGGAGCGAACAGGAUUAGAUACCCUGGUAGUCCACGCCGUAAACGAUGAGUGCUAAGUGUUAGGGGGUUUCCGCCCCUUAGUGCUGCAGCUAACGCAUUAAGCACUCCGCCUGGGGAGUACGGUCGCAAGACUGAAACUCAAAGGAAUUGACGGGGGCCCGCACAAGCGGUGGAGCAUGUGGUUUAAUUCGAAGCAACGCGAAGAACCUUACCAGGUCUUGACAUCCUCUGACAAUCCUAGAGAUAGGACGUCCCCUUCGGGGGCAGAGUGACAGGUGGUGCAUGGUUGUCGUCAGCUCGUGUCGUGAGAUGUUGGGUUAAGUCCCGCAACGAGCGCAACCCUUGAUCUUAGUUGCCAGCAUUCAGUUGGGCACUCUAAGGUGACUGCCGGUGACAAACCGGAGGAAGGUGGGGAUGACGUCAAAUCAUCAUGCCCCUUAUGACCUGGGCUACACACGUGCUACAAUGGACAGAACAAAGGGCAGCGAAACCGCGAGGUUAAGCCAAUCCCACAAAUCUGUUCUCAGUUCGGAUCGCAGUCUGCAACUCGACUGCGUGAAGCUGGAAUCGCUAGUAAUCGCGGAUCACCAGGCCGCGGGGAAUACGUUCCCGGGCCUUGUACACACCGCCCGUCACACCACGAGAGUUUGUAACACCCGAAGUCGGUGAG